rnacentral:rRNA from 1 species
UCGCGGCCUAUCAGCUUGUUGGUGAGGUAAUGGCUCACCAAGGCGACGACGGGUAGCCGGCCUGAGAGGGUGACCGGCCACACUGGAACUGAGAUACGGUCCAGACUCCUACGGGAGGCAGCAGUGGGGAAUAUUGCACAAUGGGCGAAAGCCUGAUGCAGCAACGCCGCGUGAGGGAUGAAGGCCUUCGGGUUGUAAACCUCUUUUAGCAGGGAAGAAGCGAAAGUGACGGUACCUGCAGAAAAAGCACCGGCUAACUACGUGCCAGCAGCCGCGGUAAUACGUAGGGUGCAAGCGUUGUCCGGAAUUAUUGGGCGUAAAGAGCUCGUAGGCGGUUUGUCGCGUCUGCUGUGAAAAUCCAAGGCUCAACCUUGGACCUGCAGUGGGUACGGGCAGACUAGAGUGCGGUAGGGGAGAUGGGAAUUCCUGGUGUAGCGGUGGAAUGCGCAGAUAUCAGGAGGAACACCAAUGGCGAAGGCACAUCUCUGGGCCGUAACUGACGCUGAGGAGCGAAAGCGUGGGGAGCGAACAGGAUUAGAUACCCUGGUAGUCCACGCCGUAAACGGUGGGUGCUAGUUGUGGGCCACAUCCCACGUGGUCCGUGACGAAGUUAACACAUUAAGCACCCCGCCUGGGGAGUACGG